rnacentral:lncRNA from 1 species
UAUAUAUAUAUAUAUAUAUAUAUAUAUAUAUAUAGAGAGAGAGAGAGAGAGAGAGAGAGAGAGAGAGUUGAGCUAGAAUACUAUCGAUAGCAAACGGGCUCUUUUGCCACCCAUUUAUUUUCGAUGAUGGAGCCUCCAAAUCGACGAUCGGCACCGUUGAACAUGAUCUAUAUCACUUGAAGUGUUUAGAAAUUAAAUUUCAAAUCUUUUCGACAUCAUUUACUUAAUGAUCAAAGGGUUUCAAAAUUUGUACUUUUAAUGGUCGAUAUGAGGCGAUUUCUCAUUUAACGGUGUAAAGAUAUCCAAAUCAAUUGAAUUUUUGUUAGAAAAUUCUUUAAACUAUUUAAAACAAGAUCUAUACUUUUGAUCUUGAUUAUAAGACUGCUAUCAUCAUUUUUUUGAGAAUAUUCAUUUUCAGCCGUUCAUUUUUGUAUCCACUUGAUGGAAAAGAGAACAAUAUCGAAAAUGUAUGAAAUUUGAUUUCUAAAUACUUUAAAUGGUAUAGAUUAUGUUCAACGAUGCCGAUCAUCAAUUUGAAGGCUCCAUCAUCGAAAACAAAUGAGUGGCAAAAGAGCCGAUUUGCUAUCGAUAGUAUUCUAGCUCAACUCUCUCUCUCUCUCUAUAUAUAUAUAGAGGUUAGGGCUAAUAUACCCUUAAGAGUAUAGAGUUCUUUGUACUCAUAAGUUUUCGAGUGUUGGAUGAAUAAAUGUACGGCUAUGAUAAUAGUGAUUUCCAGUUAGAAUGAUAGUUGCCCCCUAGGGUUGAAUGAGUGAUUGGUUGAAUAGUAUGAUCUAUUUGAUAAAAAUGGUCAAAGGGAUUGAUCUAACGGUAAAAAAUUUAUGAGUACAAAAAGCUCUAUACUUAUAAGAGUAUAGUAGCCGAACUAUAUAUAUAUAUAUAUAUAUAUAUAUAUAUAUAUAUAUAUAUAGGCUAGGACUACUAUACUCUUAUGAGUAUAAACUCAUAAAUUGCUUUCGAAGAUGGAGCUUCCGAAUCGACGAUUCACUCCGUUAAAUAUGAUCUAAAGUAUUUAAAACUUCUAGAAAAUAAAUUUCGUAAAUUUUCAAAAUCAUAAUAAAGAUCAUCAAGCGGGUAUAAAAUGAAUGGUCAAAAUCGAACGACAUCCUAAGAAUGGAUGCUCAGAUCCUUCAAUUUAAGAUCGAAGUUAUUGAUUUUUAUCUAGAUAGUGAAUAGAAUUUUCUAUCAAAAAUUCAACAUAUUUCGAUUUUUUUAUACCGUUAAACUAGCAAGUAUUUUAUACCGGUCGUUAAAAAUUUUUAAUUUUGUGAGCUUUUGAUCGUAAGGUAAAUGAUAUCAAAAAAUUAUAAAAUUUGAUUUCUAGAAAUUUUAAAUGCUCUAGAUAAUAUUUAACAGCAUGAAUCGCCGAUUCGGAAACUGUAUUAUUGAAAACAACUUAUGAAUACGAAGACGAUUAUACUCAUAAGAGUAUAGUAGCCGGAU